rfam:Felis catus isolate Cinnamon breed Abyssinian chromosome D4, whole genome shotgun sequence.
GCCUGGGUGGCUGAGUCAGUUGAGCGUCUGACUUCAGCUCAGGUCAUGAUCUCAUGGUCUGUGGGUUCGAGCCCCAUAUUGGGCU